rnacentral:rRNA from 1 species
GUUUAACGCUGGCGGCGUGCUUAAUACAUGCAAGUCGAGCGGACCAAAUCGGAGCUUGCUCUGAUUUGGUCAGCGGCGGACGGGUGAGUAACACGUGGGCAACCUGCCCGCAAGACCGGGAUAACUCCGGGAAACCGGAGCUAAUACCGGAUAACACCGAAGACCGCAUGGUCUUUGGUUGAAAGGCGGCCUUUGGCUGUCACUUGCGGAUGGGCCCGCGGCGCAUUAGCUAGUUGGUGAGGUAACGGCUCACCAAGGCGACGAUGCGUAGCCGGCCUGAGAGGGUGACCGGCCACACUGGGACUGAGACACGGCCCAGACUCCUACGGGAGGCAGCAGUAGGGAAUCUUCCGCAAUGGGCGAAAGCCUGACGGAGCGACGCCGCGUGAGCGAAGAAGGCCUUCGGGUCGUAAAGCUCUGUUGUGAGGGACGAAGGAGCGCCGUUCGAAGAGGGCGGCGCGGUGACGGUACCUCACGAGGAAGCCCCGGCUAACUACGUGCCAGCAGCCGCGGUAAUACGUAGGGGGCGAGCGUUGUCCGGAAUUAUUGGGCGUAAAGCGCGCGCAGGCGGUUCCUUAAGUCUGAUGUGAAAGCCCACGGCUCAACCGUGGAGGGUCAUUGGAAACUGGGGGACUUGAGUGCAGGAGAGGAGAGCGGAAUUCCACGUGUAGCGGUGAAAUGCGUAGAGAUGUGGAGGAACACCAGUGGCGAAGGCGGCUCUCUGGCCUGCAACUGACGCUGAGGCGCGAAAGCGUGGGGAGCAAACAGGAUUAUGAUACCCUGGUAGUCCACGCCGUAAACGAUGAGUGCUAAGUGUUAGAGGGGUCACACCCUUUAGUGCUGCAGCUAACGCGAUAAGCACUCCGCCUGGGGAGUACGGCCGCAAGGCUGAAACUCACAGGAAUUGACGGGGGCCCGCACAAGCGGUGGAGCAUUUUGUUUAAUUCGAAGCAACGCGAAGAACCUUACCAGGUCUUGACAUCCCCUGACAACCCAAGAGAUUGGGCGUUCCCCCUUCGGGGGGACAGGGUGACAGGUGGUGCAUGGUUGUCGUCAGCUCGUGUCGUGAGAUGUUGGGUUAAGUCCCGCAACGAGCGCAACCCUCGCCUCUAGUUGCCAGCACGAAGGUGGGCACUCUAGAGGGACUGCCGGCGACAAGUCGGAGGAAGGUGGGGAUGACGUCAAAUCAUCAUGCCCCUUAUGACCUGGGCUACACACGUGCUACAAUGGGCGGUACAAAGGGCUGCGAACCCGCGAGGGGGAGCGAAUCCCAAAAAGCCGCUCUCAGUUCGGAUUGCAGGCUGCAACUCGCCUGCAUGAAGCCGGAAUCGCUAGUAAUCGCGGAUCAGCAUGCCGCGGUGAAUACGUUCCCGGGCCUUGUACACACCGCCCGUCACACCACGAGAGCUUGCAACACCCGAAGUCGGUGAGGCAACCCGCAAGGGAGCCAGCCGCCGAAGGUGGGGCAAGUGAUUGGGGUGAAGUCGUAACAGGGUAACCA